AUUGUUUUAAGUUAUAUCUGUUCUUAUCAGUUUAAUAUCUGAUAUGUCCUUAAUUUGAGGACUGUAUAUUAAAUUGAUUCAACCCUAC
ensembl:snRNA U2 U2 spliceosomal RNA